rnacentral:rRNA from 1 species
AUGAAGCAGCGCAGGUGGUGGGUGGCCUUGGGCCCAUGCUGGAGCAUGUCUCCGGCGAGAAGCAGCAGCAGAGUAUGCCCUGACGGCAGCGGCAACCCAUGGCGGUGGGUGCAUGCGGGCAGAAGGGGUGCGGCAUGGGAGGUGGAUAAGACCUGCCAGAUGGAGUUGCGGUCGGUCGCCGUCGUCCAUUUGUACAGCCACACGCUAUACAUGACGCUGGUUUCGACUGCUAGUUGCACGCUUGCUUCCUAA